UUACGGGAGGCAGCAGUGGGGAAUCUUGCGCAAUGGGCGAAAGCCUGACGCAGCAACGCCGCGUGUGUGAUGAAGGUCUUCGGAUCGUAAAGCACUGUCGCGAGGGACGAAUAAGGGCUGGGUGAACAAUCCAGUCCGAUGACGGUACCUCGAGAGGAAGCACCGGCUAACUCUGUGCCAGCAGCCGCGGUAAUACAGAGGGUGCUAGCGUUGUUCGGAAUUAUUGGGCGUAAAGCGCGUGUAGGCGGCUUAGCAAGUCAGGUGUGAAAGCCCUCGGCUUAACCGAGGAAGUGCGCCUGAAACUGCUGAGCUUGAGUACCGGAGAGGGCGGUGGAAUUCCCGGUGUAGAGGUGAAAUUCGUAGAUAUCGGGAGGAACACCAGCGGCGAAGGCGACCGCCUGGACGGCUACUGACGCUGAGACGCGAAAGCGUGGGGAGCAAACAGGAUUAGAUACCCGAGUAC
rnacentral:rRNA from 1 species